CUCUGCUGCCUGCCAGGGACAGCUCUCAGCCAGCCCGGGGAGCUGCUCCCAGCGCUGCGGAGAAGCUGUGGGGGGAAGAAGCCACCCCGAGCAGGGCAGGGGCUGCUGCUGAGAGGGGCUGGGUGGCUCAGGGCUGCUCCCAGCUCCAGACCAGCCUGGGCACAGCUCCAGAGGACACUUCUUAAAAGAAGACUGUUUCUCCUCUCCUGUUUCUGUGACCAUCUCGAACCUGCUCCGGACUGGGACCUGGGAACAUCGAUGGUUGGCACCGUUCGGCUGCAGCAGCUGCCCCAGCGCCAGAGGGACUGAGAACAGAGCAACCACCCCCGGAAGAGACUUUCUGAUUUUGCCAUCUUUCUCAGAGCAGCGUCAUCUGGUAUUGUUCAUUUUGUGUGCUGGGGGGUGCUGUGCCUGUUAAAUAAACAGGUUCUUUCCA